rnacentral:rRNA from 1 species
GGCGGCAGGCCUAACACAUGCAAGUCGAACGAGACCUUCGGGUCUAGUGGCGGACGGGUUAGUAACGCGUGGGAACGUGCCUUUCACUACGGAAUAGUCCCGGGAAACUGGGUUUAAUACCGUAUACGCCCUUCGGGGGAAAGAAUUUCGGUGAAAGAUCGGCCCGCGUUAGAUUAGGUAGUUGGUGGGGUAAUGGCCUACCAAGCCUACGAUCUAUAGCUGGUUUUAGAGGAUGAUCAGCAACACUGGGACUGAGACACGGCCCAGACUCCUACGGGAGGCAGCAGUGGGGAAUCUUGGACAAUGGGCGCAAGCCUGAUCCAGCCAUGCCGCGUGAGUGAUGAAGGCCUUAGGGUCGUAAAGCUCUUUCGCCAGGGAUGAUAAUGACAGUACCUGGUAAAGAAACCCCGGCUAACUCCGUGCCUGCAGCCGCGGUAAUACGGAGGGGGUUAGCGUUGUUCGGAAUUACUGGGCGUAAAGCGCACGUAGGCGGAUUGGAAAGUUGGGGGUGAAAUCCCAGGGCUCAACCCUGGAACUGCCUCCAAAACUACCAGUCUAGAGUUCGAGAGAGGUGAGUGGAAUUCCGAGUGUAGAGGUGAAAUUCGUAGAUAUUCGGAGGAACACCAGUGGCGAAGGCGGCUCACUGGCUCGAUACUGACGCUGAGGUGCGAAAGUGUGGGGAGCAAACAGGAUUAGAUACCCUGGUAGUCCACACCGUAAACGAUGAAUGCCAGUCGUCGGAUAGCAUGCUAUUCGUGAC